UUGGCCGGGCGACGGUUGUCCCGGUUUAAGCGUGUAGGUGUGUGUUCCAGGUAAAUCCGGUUCACUUUAACACUGAGGCGUGACGACGAGGCACUACGGUGCUGAAGCAACAAAUGCCCUGCUUCCAGGAAAAGCCUCUAAGCAUCAGGUAACAUCAAAUCGUACCCCAAACCGACACAGGUGGUCAGGUAGAGAAUACCAAGGCGCUUGAGAGAACUCGGGUGAAGGAACUAGGCAAAAUGGUGCCGUAACUUCGGGAGAAGGCACGCUGACACGUAGGUGAAGUGAUUUACUCAUGGAGCUGAAGUCAGUCGAAGAUACCAGCUGGCUGCAACUGUUUAUUAAAAACACAGCACUGUGCAAACACGAAAGUGGACGUAUACGGUGUGACGCCUGCCCGGUGCCGGAAGGUUAAUUGAUGGGGUCAGCGCAAGCGAAGCUCCUGAUCGAAGCCCCGGUAAACGGCGGCCGUAACUAUAACGGUCCUAAGGUAGCGAAAUUCCUUGUCGGGUAAGUUCCGACCUGCACGAAUGGCGUAAUGAUGGCCAGGCUGUCUCCACCCGAGACUCAGUGAAAUUGAACUCGCUGUGAAGAUGCAGUGUACCCGCGGCAAGACGGAAAGACCCCGUGAACCUUUACUAUAGCUUGACACUGAACAUUGAGCCUUGAUGUGUAGGAUAGGUGGGAGGCUUUGAAGUGUGGACGCCAGUCUGCAUGGAGCCGACCUUGAAAUACCACCCUUUAAUGUUUGAUGUUCUAACGUGGACCCGUUACCCGGGUUGCGGACAGUGUCUGGUGGGUAGUUUGACUGGGGCGGUCUCCUCCUAAAGAGUAACGGAGGAGCACGAAGGUUGGCUAAUCCUGGUCGGACAUCAGGAGGUUAGUGCAAUGGCAUAAGCCAGCUUGACUGCGAGCGUGACGGCGCGAGCAGGUGCGAAAGCAGGUCAUAGUGAUCCGGUGGUUCUGAAUGGAAGGGCCAUCGCUCAACGGAUAAAAGGUACUCCGGGGAUAACAGGCUGAUACCGCCCAAGAGUUCAUAUCGACGGCGGUGUUUGGCACCUCGAUGUCGGCUCAUCACAUCCUGGGGCUGAAGUAGGUCCCAAGGGUAUGGCUGUUCGCCAUUUAAAGUGGUACGCGAGCUGGGUUUAGAACGUCGUGAGACAGUUCGGUCCCUAUCUGCCGUG
rnacentral:rRNA from 1 species